rnacentral:lncRNA from 1 species
AUUGGAUGAGAAAUGAGGGCCUCAUUUUUACAUGAGACGACAAAACUAAGAGAAUGGUAUUAAUGGAAGAACAUAGCUAUAAAGAUUUCCUAAAGGGUUAUAUACAGGAUACUCUCCCAGAUAGUGUAGACAAACACCCAAUGCAUGAGUUGCAAGCAGAAGUUGAUAGAAUUUGCAAAUCCAAGAAUUUUCCGGACUUUUGGAAGCAUCAUCCAAUUAAACCCCUUCUGCCCAAGACUUUUUGUGUAUGUCAAAGCGUGUAAUAGCCUGAUUUCCAUUUGACCAAUCGUUGAAAAAAACACUGCACCCACCUACUACCUUGAAAAGAAAUUAGUGGCCUGGGCUACAAGAAUACUGCAGCAAACAGAGAAUACAAUUAAUGUGGCAACGCAUGUACUGCAUAAACUAUGAACUGUAACAUGGGAAACUGGUGAUGUAAUCGUAACGUACGACUUUGAAAGUCUAUACCCAUCCCUGAAGAUCGAAC